CCUACGGGAGACAGCAGUGAGGAAUAUUGGUCAAUGGCCGAGAGGCUGAACCAGCCAAGUCGCGUGAGGGAAGAAGGUCCUAUGGAUUGUAAACCUCUUUUGUCAGGGAGCAAAGUCAGCCACGUGUGGCUUUUCGAGAGUACCCGAAGAAAAAGCAUCGGCUAACUCCGUGCCAGCAGCCGCGGUAAUACGGAGGAUGCGAGCGUUAUCCGGAUUUAUUGGGUUUAAAGGGUGCGCAGGCGGAGUAUCAAGUCAGCGGUAAAAUUGUGGGGCUCAACCGCUUCCAGCCGUUGAAACUGGUGAUCUUGAGUGGGCGAGAAGUAUGCGGAAUGGGUGGUGUAGCGGUGAAAUGCAUAGAUAUCACGCAGAACUCCGAUUGCGAAGGCAGCAUACCGGCGCCCAACUGACGCUGAAGCACGAAAGCGUGGGUAUCGAACAGGAUUAGAUACCCUUGUAGUC
rnacentral:rRNA from 1 species